AGAACCGAUUCAAUGACGGCUGUCAAAUCUAAUUUGCAAAACAUAGUCGCCUGUAUCUUAGUUAGCUAAGAGUUUUUAUUUUUUAAUCUUCGCAGAAAAUGUCAGAUUGCGGUUGAUGAAAAAUGGAAAUACAUUAUUCGCAUGAAAUACAGAAUGGAAAAUUCACAAUCGAUCGGAAUAACCUAACUGACUUGAUUCCAGUCAAUAAAGUACUACUAGAGUCUUGUGCUACCCUGAUACUAUGUACAGUAAAGGUUCAAGUUUAAAGAAUACGCGUAUCUGGAAUUCGAAACUCUUCGACUAUACUUCAAGACCGGCCGCACUGUAAACAGGUGAGGUGAUUCCCAAAUGUUUGAUCACCAACAAAAAUCCUCCGUUAAAAAAGAAGCACGUACAUAUUUAUCGAUCAAAUCGAACUCUAACAAGUUUUUUCAGAAGCCCAUUCGAUAGUAAAGAAAACAAAAGCGACAGUACUCGAUGUUGAAAUUAUCAUGAUUUGUCACUCAGGUGAUUUGCUUUCAUCACUACACUGAAAUAAAAAUCAUUUUUAUAUUCAUUAGAUUCGUCAUAUGAAUCGUAUGCAUCGUAUAACUCAUUGAAGCCAA